GUCCACGCCGUAACGAUGAGUGCUAGGUGCUAUGGGUAUUGACCCCCGUGGUGCCGCAGCUAACGCGUUAAGCACUCCGCCUGGGGAGUACGGCCGCAAGGCUAAACUCAAAGGAAUUGACGGGGGCCCGCACAAGCGGUGGAGCAUGUGGUUCAAUUCGACGCAACGCGCAGAACCUUACCUGGGUUAAAUCCACUGGAACUUGCCAGAGAUGGCUUGGUGCUCUUCGGAGAGCCAGUGAGACGGUGCUGCAUGGCUGUCGU
rnacentral:rRNA from 1 species